rnacentral:rRNA from 1 species
GUGGGGAAUAUUGCACAAUGGGCGAAAGCCUGAUGCAGCAACGCCGCGUGAGGGACGACGGCCUUCGGGUUGUAAACCUCUUUUAGUAGGGAAGAAGCGAAAGUGACGGUACCUGCAGAAAAAGCACCGGCUAACUACGUGCCAGCAGCCGCGGUAAUACGUAGGGUGCAAGCGUUAUCCGGAAUUAUUGGGCGUAAAGAGCUCGUAGGCGGUCUGUCGCGUCUGCUGUGAAAACUGGAGGCUCAACCUCCAGCCUGCAGUGGGUACGGGCAGACUAGAGUGCGGUAGGGGAGAGUGGAAUUCCUGGUGUAGCGGUGGAAUGCGCAGAUAUCAGGAGGAACACCGAUGGCGAAGGCAGAUCUCUGGGCCGUAACUGACGCUGAUGAGCGAAAGCGUGGGGAGCGAACAGGAUUAGAAACCCCAGUAGUCC